CUCAGUUCCCUGACUAAGCCAGACUGCUUCUGAAGAUCCAAGGAGCAUCUGGAUUCAUUCAGUCUGCAUACUACUGGAACAACCAUGCAUUUGAAAGCCAUACAGACCCAGAUUUGAAUUCUGGCCUGCUACUCAAUUGUGCGAUACGGGCAUGCGUUGCCAUUCCUACAAACUCUGGCCUGCCUCCUCAUCUGUAAUAAUCUGGUACAAUAAGCUGGGACGAGGUAUUGGAGUGCUAAGCUCAUGAUCUCCCCACUACUCCUACCUUCAUACAACAAGCCUUCCUAAAGAAGACCUAAAUCUUCUACUCAUGCUGUUUCCUCUUAAAAUCUCUAUAGCAGCAUUUAGUACAUCGUAUUUCUAUUCUCGUGUCUCAAGGGUAAGCAUUUCCAUUUCAUAGGCAUCAAACAGUGCCUGCUGCAGAACGUGUUCAUUGAAUCAUACCCUCCAUCUAUCCAGCCUGCAUUUCCUCAUUGUGUACCCCUAGAUUCUCUAGGAGCCAUGGUUUAGGAUGCCUGACCAGCCCUUCCUUCCUCCUCAUAUGCGUUAGUUUCCUGGGGCUGCUGUAACAAGUCACCACAAACCGAGGGGCUUAAAACAACAGAAAUGUGCGCUCUCACAGUUGUGAACGACAGAGGUCCAUAAUCUGUGUCACUGGGCAAAAAUCAAGGUGUCCAUAGGUGUGAGUUUCCUCCAGAGGCUCCAGGGGAGAAUUCUUCCUUGCUGAUUUCAGCUUCUGGGGGCCCCUGGCAUUCCUUGGCUUCUAACACUAUCACUCCAAUCUCUGCCUCCUUCGUCACUUUGCCUUGUCAUGUGCGUGUGUGUGUGUGUGUGUGUGUGUGUGUGCGCGCGCAUCAAUUCUCCCUCUACCUUUCUCAUAUAAAGACAUGUAUCCAGCCAGGCACUGUGGCUCCCACCUGUAAUCCCAGCACUUUGGGAGGCCAAGGUGGAUGGAUCACGAGAUCAGGAGUUCGAGACUAGCCUGGACAACAUGGAGAAACCCCGUCUCUACUGAAAAUACAAAAAUUAGCUGGGCGUGGUGGUGUGCAUCUGUAAUCCCAGCUACUCAGGAGGCUGAGGCAGGAGAAUCACUUGAACCUGGGAGGCGGAGUUUGCAGUGAGCUGAGACCACGCCAUUGCACUCCAGCCUGGGUGACAUAGCAAGACUCUGUCCCCUACCCCCCCGCCCCUGCAAAAAAAAAAAAAAAAAAAAAAAAAGACAUCUGUCCUCACUUAGAACCUGGGGAUAACCCAGAAUAACCUACCCAUGGCAAGAUCCUUGAUAUGGCCUGGAUGUUUGUCCCAACCAAAUCUAACAUUGAAAUGUUAUCCCCAAUGUUGGAGGUGGGGCCUACUGGGAGGUACUUGGGUCAUGAGUGUGGAUCCCUCAUAAAUGGCUUGGUGCCCUCCCUGAAGUAAUAAGCUAAGGCAAGAGCUGGUUGUUGAAAAGAACAUAGCAUCUCACUUGCUCCUUCUCUCAUCUUGUGACAUGCCUGCUUCCCCUUUGCCUCCUGCCAUGAUUGGAAGCUUCCUGAGGCCCUCACCAGAAGCAGAUGCUAGAACAAUACUUACUGUAGCUUACUGUACAGUCUGCAGAACCAUGAGCCAAAUAAACCUCUUUUUAAAAAU